rnacentral:rRNA from 1 species
UAUGGUAAUUCCGCCGCGGUAAUACGUAGGGGGCAAGCGUUAUCCGGAUUUACUGGGUGUAAAGGGAGCGUAGACGGCACGGCAAGCCAGAUGUGAAAGCCCGGGGCUCAACCCCGGGACUGCAUUUGGAACUGCUGAGCUAGAGUGUCGGAGAGGCAAGUGGAAUUCCUAGUGUAGCGGUGAAAUGCGUAGAUAUUAGGAGGAACACCAGUGGCGAAGGCGGCUUGCUGGACGAUGACUGACGUUGAGGCUCGAAAGCGUGGGGAGCAAACAGG